CAAUAGCGUAUAUUAAAGCUGUUGCGGUUAAAAAGCUCGUAGUUGGAUUUCUGUUGAGAGCGACCGGUCCAUACCAUGUAUGCGUAUCUGGCUUGCUCUCGGCAUCCUCUCGAUAGACGUUACUGCGCUUGAUUGCGUGGUGCGGAUCUCGGGACUUUUACUUUGAGGAAAUUAGAGUGUUCACGGCAGGCUUUCGCCAGAAUACAUUAGCAUGGAAUAAUACUAUAGGAUCUUGGUUCUAUUUUGUUGGUUUCUAGAAUUGAGAUAAUGAUUAAUAGGGACAAUUGGGGGCAUUCGUAUCAACACGUCAGAGGUGGAAUUCUUGGAUUGUGUUGCGACGAACUACUGCGAAAGCAUUUGCCAAGGAUGUUUUCAUUGA
rnacentral:rRNA from 1 species